rnacentral:misc_RNA from 1 species
GAUGAAGAACGUAGCGAAAUGCGAUAAGUAAUGUGAAUUGCAGAAUUCAGUGAAUCAUCGAAUCUUUGAACGCACCUUGCGCCUUUUGGUAUUCCGAAAGGCACACCUGUUUGAGCGUCAUGAAUACCUCAAUCUCCAUCUUUUCUUCGGAUUGAUGAGUGACUUGGAUGUUGAGCCCUGCUGGUAUGCUAUAUCAGCUGGCUUUAAACUUAUUAGCCGGCUCUGUACUGGAUCGGUUUGACUCGACGUGAUAAUAUUAUCGUUGAGGAUGCAUGUCUCAUGCAGCCGGAAAGUAUCAAAGCAGCUUCUAGCUUGCCUUUAGUGCACUUUUACAUUUUAGACCUCAGAUCAGGUGGGACUACCCGCUGAACUUAAGCAUAUCAAUAAGCGGAGGA